GGCAAUUGAUAAAACUAGAAUAGUGAAGCGCAUAGUGCGAAUAGUCGACGAAUAGUACGAAUAGUCCGCGAAUAGUCGACGAAUAGUGCGAAUAGUCCGCGAAUAGGCGACGAAUAGUGCGAACAGUCCGCGAAUAGUCGACGAAUAGUACGAAUAGUCGACGAAUAGGCGACGAAUAGUACGAAUAGUCCACGAAUAGGCGACGAAUAGUACGAAUAGUGCAAUAGAGACUUUGCAAGGCUUUGCAGCAGUGCUAUAGAACUAAA